AUGGGGUUGGGGCUGUACUGGGUUUUCUUUGUUGCUCUUUUAAAAGGUGGGCACUGUGAGGUGCAGCUGGUUGAGUCUGGUGGAGGAUUGGUGAAGCCUGCAGAGUCACUGAAACUCUCCUGUGCAGCCUCUGGAUUCACCUACACUGACUCUGCCAUGAGCUGGAUCCGCCAGGCUCCAGGAAAGCGGCUGGAGUUGGUCGCUACCAUAAGAACUAAACCUAAUAAUCAUGCAACCGAUUGUGUGGAUUCGGUGAAAGGCAGAUUCACCAUCUCCAGAGAUGAUUCCCAAAGCAUGGCCUACCUGAAAAUGAACAACCUGAGUACUGAGGACACGGCCAUUUAUUACUACUCACAAAACCUUGAUGUUCUUAUUAAAUAUGUGUGUGUCCCUGAGUUUCCAGACAAACAAGCCUAUUUCAAUUUCAUUUUAGAAUAUUUGGUUUCCCAUGCUGUUUAA